rnacentral:tRNA from 1 species
UGGCUCAGUUGGUAAAGCACGAGACUCUUGAUCUUGGGGGCAUGGGUUCAAGCCCCAU